GCCGGUUUGGCUCAAUGGAUAGAGCCUUGGCCUGCAGACCAAAGGGUUCCGGGUUCAAAUCCCGUCAAGGGCA
rnacentral:tRNA from 1 species